rnacentral:rRNA from 1 species
UACAGAGGGUGCAAGCGUUGUUCGGAAUUACUGGGCGUAAAGCGCGUGUAGGUGGCGAUGUAAGUCGGGUGUGAAAUCCCUCAGCUUAACUGAGGAAGUGCACUCGAUACUGUGUCGCUUGAGUGUUGGAGGGGAUGGCGGAAUUCCCGGUGUAGAGGUGAAAUUCGUAGAUAUCGGGAGGAACACCGGUGGCGAAGGCGGCGUUCUGGACUGCAACUGACACUGAGAGACGAAAGCCAGGGGAGCAAACGGG